rnacentral:rRNA from 1 species
AGUGAACGCUGGCGGUAGGCCUAACACAUGCAAGUCGAACGGCAGCACAGUAAGAGCUUGCUCUUACGGGUGGCGAGUGGCGGACGGGUGAGGAAUACAUCGGAAUCUACUUUUUCGUGGGGGAUAACGUAGGGAAACUUACGCUAAUACCGCAUACGACCUACGGGUGAAAGCAGGGGAUCUUCGGACCUUGCGCGAUUGAAUGAGCCGAUGUCGGAUUAGCUAGUUGGCGGGGUAAAGGCCCACCAAGGCGACGAUCCGUAGCUGGUCUGAGAGGAUGAUCAGCCACACUGGAACUGAGACACGGUCCAGACUCCUACGGGAGGCAGCAGUAGGGAAUAUUGGACAAUGGGCGCAGGCCUGAUCCAGCCAUACCGCGUGGGUGAAGAAGGCCUUCGGGUUGUAAAGCCCUUUUGUUGGGAAAGAAAAGCAGCAGGUUAAUACCCCGCUGUUCUGACGGUACCCAAAGAAUAAGCACCGGCUAACUUCGUG